GACGAACGCUGGCGGCGUGCCUAAUACAUGCAAGUUGAGCGCUGAAGGUUGGUACUUGUACCAACUGGAUGAGCAGCGAACGGGUGAGUAACGCGUGGGGAAUCUGCCUUUGAGCGGGGGACAACAUUUGGAAACGAAUGCUAAUACCGCAUAAAAACUUUAAACACAAGUUUUAAGUUUGAAAGAUGCAAUUGCAUCACUCAAAGAUGAUCCCGCGUUGUAUUAGCUAGGUGGUGAGGUAAAGGCUCACCCAGGCGAAGGUACAUUACCGACCUGAGAGGGUGAACGGCCACAUUGGGACUGAGACACGGCCCAAACUCCUACGGGAAGCAGCAGUAGGGAAUCUUCGGCAAUGGACGAAAGGCUGACCGGGCCACGCCGCGUGAGUGAAGAAGGUUUUCGGAUCGUAAAACUCUGUUGGUAGAGAAGAACGUUGGUGAGAGUGGAAAGCGCAUCAAGUGACGGUAACUACCCAGAAAGGGACGGCUAACUACGUG
rnacentral:rRNA from 1 species